AUGUGGGAGUGGCAGGUGGUCCACGAAAAAGCAGCUGAGGACGGGGGGCAGCCAGAGCUGAGAGCGCGUACCGGAAGAGCCUCUAACAUGGCCCUUCGCCUCAUCUGCCCCACGAGACACCGCCGACUGGGGAUAUCAGCUUGCCAGAGAGACGAGCUAUUCUUAGAACGGUGCUUCAAUCACUCGGUAACGACAGAUAUGUUGCUCCUGUAUCAUUUUAUCAAACUCAUCACAAAUAAACAAAUACAAAGCGUCACAUUGAUUGGUUUCUGCAGUUCGGUAAACAAGUGUUUGUUUUUUUUCGUUCGUUCUCACAGCGCAGAAGAGCUAUACAGCAAGGAGGAAGAGAGCGAGCCCGAGCUGGAGAAUAGAAAUGCAAGAGGUCAGAGCCCGAAGAGGUCCGGAAGAGGCCGGAUGGAUCCGAGCAGCCCGCCACUCCUCUCUCCUUCCUUUUGUUCUCUUCCCUCUGCCUUUUCCCUCGCCCGCCGUUCCUACCCGAUCUCCUCUGUCACCCUUUCACCCGUCUUGUAUUUCACGUUCUCUGCUUUCUCUCCCCUAUUGCUGGAUUAUUCUCCCUCCUCUCCCCUUUCUGUCGUUCUUUUCCCUCUCCGGCACCUCCCUUUCCUCACUGCUCUCUCAGUUAUAUUCCAUUCAAAUGUGCUUUAUUGGCCUGACUGUUCAAGGUACAGCGUUGAUCUCCGUGUCACUGACAACUGCAGAAAUGAAACAAUAAUUGAAAACGCUAAUGACAAGAUGGGGUAGAACCAAGCAAACAAACUGUAUGGUCUCUUAGGCUGUAUGUUGCACUUAUAAGGUGCAGGGGUCUAGACCUCCCCACACACACACACUUUCAGCUGUCCCCCCUCUCUACCACUCUCCCACACUCGGCUCAAGUUGCACACGCCGCACGCGUAGCCAAGACAGACCAUUACGCAUAAUCGACAGUCCUCUGUCCGGGAAACCGGAGCGAAGGGUCUGAUUUUAUAUGUAGUAUCGGAUUAAUUAUCACCUUUCCGUCGCUCUCUGUCAUCGAAGCCGUUGCUUGCGCGUGUAUGUAUUAGUGUGUGCAGACAUGCGUUUAGCCGUAUGCGUGUUUGCGUGCAUGCAGGCGCCCUCCCCGUGCUGCACCCACGGUAGCGCCCUGGUGGUGGAGCAGGUAGACGUGCUGUGUUCGCGGCAGUGGUCCAGGUAAAUGCCUCUGUCUCUUUACAACACAGAUGUUUCCAGUUAACUUUACCGUUAUACAUUAUGUUUUAUUAAAAUGUUGUAUUUACUCAUUAGUAUGCACAUAAUUCUUAAAUAAAACAUUGGGUUCCUGCGGGUUCCA
rnacentral:lncRNA from 1 species